rnacentral:rRNA from 1 species
CAGGAGAGGAGCGAGCGAGUGAAGGUGGGAAGAGCAACUGGAGGGGGGGUGUGCCUCGUUCACUCGUCUCUCUCUCUCUCCUAGGGCCGCUAAGUCUCUCCUAAGGCCGGGGCAGUCCACCAGCCGCAGGAGCGGCCGCCGGCGGUACCGUGUUGAGGGGAAGUGGGGUGGGGUCGCCGGAGAAGGGGGUUAUGAGGAGUGACAAAAGAGGGGAAAAGAAGCGGCCUAGACUUCUGCCCGACGGCCGCAGCUGGACGGCAGUAGCGGCUCCAACCGCCCCACUCCAGCCCAGAGCAACAGAGGCGUAGCUCGCGCGAAUCGAGGCGGAGCUAAGCCGUGGCGCAGCGCCUACUCCUCGGCUGCCUCGUCCCCUACGAAGACAGUCUCGUCCGGUGCCCGCGGCAGCCGCGGUUGGGUCCGCUGCCGCUCCCGCGGUUAGGGGAGGUUGGUCGGGGGCGUAGGUCGUGCCCCAGCCGUCGCCGCCCCCACGCGUCGCGCGUAGCUGCUACUACACCUCUGCGCGCGCCACCUAACGAGUUCCCGCACCUUCGCGUGCCGUACGGGCUGUAGAAUUGGAGGGGGCGCGUCGGUAAGGGUACCGACCACCGUCGCCUCGGCUCCGCCCGGUGAUGUCUCUCCUCAAAGUGGCUACCUUCCUACCGCAGCGCGCACACUCCGUCCGGCCUCGUCACCUCCGCCCGAGCGACGGCUACGAGAGGAGAUCAAGGACAGCAGCAGGACGAAGGGACCUGAGGAGGCACGAGUGGUCGUGCAGGGGUUCUGGGGCGCGCUCUUCCCCCGACGCCGUCGAUCCAGUACCUCCGUGGCUACGUUCCCCUAGUCUCCGCUAUCGGUGCAGCGCCUGCCGUCUCGUCCGCUGCCGCAGAGGCAGCACCCCCACCCGGCCGCCCACCUCCAGUGGGGGAGAUAGAGGCCCGACCGAGAGAUGCCCAGCCGCCCCGCGAGGGUCUACGCCGCCCACGAUUACCCGGGCCGGUACCCGCGCGUCCACAGGCGGCGCUCAAAAAAUGCCGCUCGAGGUGGUAACGUACAUACCCGGUCGUGUAUGCCAUGUUGACUGUAAAGAAGCCAAACUUGGUAACCCUAAAAAAUCAUGAUCAAACAAACAGUGAGAAUACAUAAUACCGAUUAAGUAGAAAGGCAAAAGUAUCCUACCAUUUAGACCCGAAAUAAUAGUGUUGUUUUGACACAAAAAUAAACAAAUAGUACGGUACUUUCAGAUACGUAAAAAUCAGAUACAUAGUACUAUAUAUCUUGUCAACGGUACCGAGUACCGUUUAUAUCGGAUACGUAGUACCUUGAAUAUCACAUACCUACUACUAGAUAUCUUGUAAAAUCAAGU